rnacentral:rRNA from 1 species
UACGUAGGGUGCGAGCGUUGUCCGGAAUUACUGGGCGUAAAGAGCUCGUAGGUGGUUUGUCGCGUUGUUCGUGAAAUCUCACGGCUUAACUGUGAGCGUGCGGGCGAUACGGGCAGACUAGAGUACUGCAGGGGAGACUGGAAUUCCUGGUGUAGCGGUGGAAUGCGCAGAUAUCAGGAGGAACACCGGUGGCGAAGGCGGCGAUCUGGGUAGAUACUGACGCUGAGGUGCGAAAGCUGGGGGAGCAAACAGG